CCCUUAGAUGUCCGGGGCCGCACGCGCGCUACACUGAAGGAAUCAGCGUGGCUUUCUCCCUGACCCGAAAGGGUUGGGAAACCCGUUGAAUCUCCUUCGUGAUAGGGAUUGGGGCUUGAAAUUGUUCCCCAUGAACGAGGAAUUCCCAGUAAGCGCAAGUCAUCAGCUUGCGUCGAUUACGUCCCUGCCCUUUGUACACACCGCCCGUCGCUCCUACCGAUUGGGUGUGCUGGUGAAAUGUUCGGAUCGGCCGUUUGUCGCGGUUUCCGCGGCUCGUGGCUGAGAAGUUCAUUAAACCCUCCCACCUAGAGGAAGGAGAAGUCGUAACA
rnacentral:rRNA from 1 species